AGCAGUUGAAGUGGUAGGAAAUUUUUACAUAGGAGAGUAUGGUGAUCAUAUUUGCAUUUUAGAAAAUAAUGGAUAGCAGUUUGUUAGGGGAACAAAGGACAGAGACAGGGAGACUAUUUAAAACAUUAAUAAAAAAUACCAGUGACAGAUGAUGAGGCACCUACCUGAUGGGAAUGGAGAAGAGGAGAUGGAUUCAGAAACUACUUAGGAGAGGCAGGCAGUCCAAGGCUGAUGCCCAAAGAAGCCAUCAAGACCCGUGCUACUUCCAGCUCCUUCUGUCCUCAUAAUCAUAGAUGAUUGCUCCACAUCCAGGUAUUAAGCUCUUAUUCCAAGCAGGAAGGGGAAGGACAAAGGGCAAAAGGCAUUUGCCAAGUCUCUCCCUUUUUAUGAGGAAAAACAAUCAUUUUCUGAUAAGCCCUAUUCACUGGACUAAAACCUACAACCCAUUGGCCAAGAUUGGGUAUAUGAAUAUAUCACUGCAUGAGUACCAGGGCAAAAUGAGUAUUUUUUUAAACUUUUUGCUUUGGAAUAAUUUCAAAUGGACAAAAUUUGCAAAAGUAGUACAAAGAA
rnacentral:lncRNA from 1 species